GGCCCAGAUCGUUUACCGUGAAAAAAUUAGAGUGUUCAAAGCAGGCAGAUCCAAUUUUCUGCCACCGAAUACAUUAGCAUGGGAUAAUGGAAUAGGACCCUGUCCUCCUAUUUUCAGUUGGUUUUGGCAGCGCGAGGACUAGGGUAAUGAUUAAUAGGGAUAGUUGGGGGCAUUAAUAUUUAAUUGUCAGAGGUGAAAUUCUUGGAUUUAUGAAAGAUUAACUUCUGCGAAAGCAUCUGCCAAGGAUGUUUUCAUUAAUCAAGAACGAAAGUUAGGGGAUCGAAGACGAUCAGAUACCGUCGUAGUCUUAACCAUAAACGAUGCCGACCAGCGAUUAGGAGACGUUGAAUACAAAACACCACCAUCGGUGCGGUCGUCCUUGGCGUCGGUCUUUCGGGGCCGGCGCGGGGACGGCUUAGCCCGGUGGCACCGGUGAAUGACUCCCCUAGCAGCUU
rnacentral:rRNA from 1 species